GGAUCGCUAGCUCAACGAUGGAGAGCGUCCCGCGCCUAACCGGGGAGAUGGGGGUUCGAAUCCCUCGCGGUCCACCA
rnacentral:tRNA from 1 species